UACGUAGGGUCCGAGCGUUGUCCGGAAUUAUUGGGCGUAAAGGGCUCGUAGGCGGUUCGUCACGUCGGGAGUGAAAACUCGGAGCUUAACUCCGAGCCUGCUUCCGAUACGGGCAGACUAGAGGUAGGCAGGGGAGAGCGGAACUCCUGGUGUAGCGGUGGAAUGCGCAGAUAUCAGGAGGAGCACCGGUGGCGAAGGCGGGUCUCUGGGCCGUAACUGACGCUGAGGAGCGAAAGCGUGGGGAGCGAACAGG
rnacentral:rRNA from 1 species